rnacentral:rRNA from 1 species
CCUACGGGCGGCAGCAGUGGGGAAUAUUGAGCAAUGGAGGCAACUCUGACCCAGCAACGCCGCGUGAAUGAUGAAGGUCUUCGGAUUGUAAAGUUCUUUUCUAAGGGAAGAAGAAAGUGACGGUACCUUAGGAAUAAGCCUCGGCUAACGACGUGCCAGCAGCCGCGGUAAUACGUAGGAGGCAAGCGUUAUCCGGAAUGACUGGGCGUAAAGGGUGCGUAGGUGGUUUGACAAGUUAGUAGCGCAACUCCGGAGCUAAACUUCGGAACUACUACUAAAACUGUUGGACUUGAGUGCAGGAGGGGCAAAUGGAAUGCCUAGGGUAGCGGUGGAAUGAGUAGAUAUUAGGAGGAACACCAGUGGCGAAGGCGAUUUGCUGGACUGUAACUGACACUGAGGCACGAAAGCGUGGGGAGCAAACAGGAUUAGAUACCCGUGUAGUC